rnacentral:rRNA from 1 species
AGCGAACGCUGGCGGCAGGCCUAACACAUGCAAGUCGAACGAACUCUUCGGAGUUAGUGGCGGACGGGUGAGUAACACGUGGGAACGUGCCUUUAGGUUCGGAAUAACUCAGGGAAACUUGAGCUAAUACCGGAUGUGCCCUUCGGGGGAAAGAGUUAUCGCCUUUAGAGCGGCCCGCGUCUGAUUAGCUAGUUGGUGAGGUAAAGGCUCACCAAGGCGACGAUCAGUAGCUGGUCUGAGAGGAUGAUCAGCCACAUUGGGACUGAGACACGGCCCAAACUCCUACGGGAGGCAGCAGUGGGGAAUAUUGCGCAAUGGGCGAAAGCCUGACGCAGCCAUGCCGCGUGAAUGAUGAAGGUCUUAGGAUUGUAAAAUUCUUUCACCGGGGACGAUAAUGACGGUACCCGGAGAAGAAGCCCCGGCUAACUUCGUG